UACAGAGGUCCCAAGCGUUGUUCGGAUUCACUGGGCGUAAAGGGUGCGUAGGUGGUGGGGUAAGUCGGAUGUGAAAUCUCCGAGCUCAACUCGGAAACUGCAUUGGAAACUACCCUGCUAGAGGGUCGGAGGGGGGACUGGAAUACUUGGUGUAGCAGUGAAAUGCGUAGAUAUCAAGUGGAACACCAGUGGCGAAGGCGAGUCCCUGGACGACUCCUGACACUGAGGCACGAAAGCGUGGGGAGCAAACAGG
rnacentral:rRNA from 1 species